UUGUUUAGUGGUGAUGAAGCUCGCCAAGGAUUAUCUUUAAUUUCCUGAACCGUCCUUCUAAGAAGGUCUGAUAGCUUCUACUGGCUU
rnacentral:ncRNA from 2 species